rnacentral:rRNA from 1 species
ACUCGAGAACUGCUUAAAUGCUAGUCUGCGUUUAGCAGGCAACACUGUCAAAUUGCGGGAACACCCUAAAGACCUCAACACCAAGCGCUCACGGGAAACCGUGGCGUGGCCGAGCUAAUAGCCCUGGGUAUGGUAACAGUUUGAGGUAUGAAGCCCCUUUUGGGGCAGAAAUGGGCAAUCCGCAGCCAAGUCCUAACGCACUUCGGUGUUAUGGAUGCUGUUCACAGGCCAAAUGGUAGUGGGUGACUUUCGGGUUGCUUAAGAUAUGGUCGGGCCCCUUCAGAAAUGUCGGGGAUAAGUUUACGCAGUUACUCAGUGCUUGCAUUGGGUGACGAAGAACUCAUGUAGCGUAAAAACUGCGUUGAGUAAGAACAAACCGUUCCGUAGGUGAACCUGCGGAAGGAUCAUU